AUUGAACGCUGGCGGCAGGCCUAACACAUGCAAGUCGAGCGGAUGAAGGGAGCUUGCUCCUGGAUUCAGCGGCGGACGGGUGAGUAAUGCCUAGGAAUCUGCCUGGUAGUGGGGGAUAACGUCCGGAACGGGCGCUAAUACCGCAUGCGUCCUGAGGGAGAAAGUGGGGGAUCUUCGGACCUCACGCUAUCAGAUGAGCCUAGGUCGGAUUAGCUAGUUGGUGGGGUAAAGGCCUACCAAGGCGACGAUCCGUAACUGGUCUGAGAGGAUGAUCAGUCACACUGGAACUGAGACACGGUCCAGACUCCUACGGGAGGCAGCAGUGGGGAAUAUUGGACAAUGGGCGAAAGCCUGAUCCAGCCAUGCCGCGUGUGUGAAGAAGGUCUUCGGAUUGUAAAGCACUUUAAGUUGGGAGGAAGGGCAGUAAGUUAAUACCUUGCUGUUUUGACGUUACCAACAGAAUAAGCACCGGCUAACUUCGUG
rnacentral:rRNA from 1 species